rnacentral:rRNA from 1 species
GACGAACGCUGGCGGCGUGCUUAACACAUGCAAGUCGAACGGAAAGGCCCUGCUUUUGUGUGGUGCUCGAGUGGCGAACGGGUGAGUAACACGUGAGUAACCUGCCCUUGACUUUGGGAUAACUUCAGGAAACUGGGGCUAAUACCUGAUAGGAGCUCCUGCUGCAUGGUGGGGGUUGGAACGUUUCGGCGGUUGCGGAUGGACUCGCGGCUUACCAGCUUGUUGGUGGGGUAGUUGCUUACCAAGGCUUUGACGGGUAGCCGGCCUGAGAGGGUGACCGGCCACAUUGGGACUGAGAUACGGCCCAGACUCCUACGGGAGGCAGCAGUGGGGAAUAUUGCACAAUGGGCGGAAGCCUGAUGCAGCAACGCCGCGUGCGGGAUGACGGCCUUCGGGUUGUAAACCGCUUUCGCCUGUGACGAAGCGUGAGUGACGGUAAUGGGUAAAGAAGCACCGGCUAACUACGUG